rnacentral:piRNA from 1 species
CGUGAGAGGGUCAUUGCGGUAGA